GACGAACGCUGGCGGCGUGCUUAACACAUGCAAGUCGAACGGAAAGGCCCUGCUUUUGUGGGGUGCUCGAGUGGCGAACGGGUGAGUAACACGUGAGUAACCUGCCCUUGACUUUGGGAUAACUUCAGGAAACUGGGGCUAAUACCGGAUAGGAGCUCCUGCUGCAUGGUGGGGGUUGGAAAGUUUCGGCGGUUGGGGAUGGACUCGCGGCUUAUCAGCUUGUUGGUGGGGUAGUGGCUUACCAAGGCUUUGACGGGUAGCCGGCCUGAGAGGGUGACCGGCCACAUUGGGACUGAGAUACGGCCCAGACGCCUACGGGAGGCAGCAGUGGGGAAUAGUGCACAAUGGGCGGAAGCCUGAUGCAGCAACGCCGCGUGCGGGAUGACGGCCGGCGGGGUGUAAACCGCUUUCGCCUGUGACGAAGCGUGAGUGACGGUAAUGGGUAAAGAAGCACCGGCUAACUACGUG
rnacentral:rRNA from 1 species